CUUUAAACUUUUCAACAUAAGGUUUCUCUUGUUGGAGAUGUGAUGAGAUGAAAUUUACUAUAAAACUAUACGCCAAAGAAAAGCCGUUUUACCCUUCAGAAGCUGGAAUGUUCAUUUCCUCCAACGACGCUGAAACCCAAGAAAUGCUUCCACAGCAUCGGUAACACCCAGGGCCAACAAAGAAGAGGGCAUCUCCCUGCCACCUUUUUCUUUUUCAACUACAGUUGUGUGUCUCCCCACCUACAGUGUGAACAUAACCUUGCUGGCGGGAGAGAUCGACAUUUCUACAUAUUCCUUGGCCUCCUGCAGGGACCACUCCAGUGACCUAUUGGGAAACUCUUAUAGGGGAGGGACAGAGAAAGAAGAGUGAAGGAAGAGAAGUGUUUUAAUUUGGUCUACUUGGAGCACAGACCCAGAGAUUUGUUAGAAUGGUGAAUAAUCCAUCACAGACAUGGCCCCACACCUGCUUAUUGCCAAUCUCGGGGUUUGUUGGAGCAACACUGGCCAGCGAGGCUCCAGGUGGACCAGAGAACUGGAUGUUUUGAAAGGACUCUAUGGAUGUAUUAGAAAAAGAAACUCUUGCCCUCCGCAUUUUUUAAGUAACUCAAAGUAAAUUAAAAAACAACUACUACUAUAUUAAGCAAUGCCUACGUUUCCCAGGAUAUCCAGAUUUUGAGCAUAUAAUUCAAUUUAAUAAGCAUCCGUUAUAUACAAAGGCAUGGUACUAGACAUUCAUAAUCAUGCAGAGAUAAAAUUACCACAUAGGAGGGGGAGAGCAUGUAUACAAAAUACUACAAAACAGGACAAAAUGCUGGGAGAAGAGACGAAAAAUGCUUUGCUAUAGGAUUCUGAGUAGUGUGGCAGAAUGCCCAGUCGGGGAAAGGAGAAAAGAUUCAACCGACCAUUGAUCAUUUGAUCUUUGCCGGCAUCAAUACUGAAUAUCAAGAUUUAGUAAAUGAAUGAAUCAGUGAUGUGUUUUGUCAG
rnacentral:lncRNA from 1 species